AUUGAACGCUGGCGGCAUGCUUUACACAUGCAAGUCGAACGGCAGCGCGGGCCUCGGCCUGGCGGCGAGUGGCGAACGGGUGAGUAAUGCAUCGGAACGUGCCCAGUAGUGGGGGAUAGCCCGGCGAAAGCCGGAUUAAUACCGCAUACGACCUGAGGGUGAAAGCGGGGGACCGAAAGGCCUCGCGCUAUUGGAGCGGCCGAUGUCGGAUUAGCUAGUUGGUGGGGUAAAGGCUUACCAAGGCGACGAUCCGUAGCUGGUCUGAGAGGACGACCAGCCACACUGGGACUGAGACACGGCCCAGACUCCUACGGGAGGCAGCAGUGGGGAAUUUUGGACAAUGGGGGCAACCCUGAUCCAGCCAUGCCGCGUGCGGGAAGAAGGCCUUUGGGUUGUAAACCGCUUUUGUUCGGGAAGAAAUCCUCUGGGCUAAUACCCCGGGGGGAUGACGGUACCGGAAGAAUAAGCACCGGCUAACUACGUG
rnacentral:rRNA from 1 species